CUAGAGUUCUGUUCAGGACCUGAGGGACAGCUGCUUGUCAUAUUCAGACUGCGCAUUGUUAUAUUCACCCCUAUCUCGCCAUUUCCCUACACGCAGAGCUGCUGCGCUUCUCUGAAUUUCUGAUCGAAUGGUAGGCGUAGACACAGUAGAUUUAAUUGGGAUCUGUGGUCAUCCUGCGAGCUUGCACCCCAUACACUAGCUGUGACGGAUGGCACUUGGGUAUUUCAGAAUAACUCAGACAGAAAGAGUUAUUGGUUCUGCAGCCAAAUGCACAAAUAUAAAGAUCACGAUCAUGUUUCAACGGGAAGCAAACAGCUUUCUCCCUCC